GACGAACGCUGGCGGCGUGCUUAACACAUGCAAGUCGAACGGAAAGGCCCCUUUGGGGGUACUCUAGUGGCGAACGGGUGAGUAACACUUGAGUAACCUGCCCUUGACUUCGGGAUAACUUUAGGAAACUGGGGCUAAUACCGGAUAGGAAUCCUUGCUGCAUGGUGGGGGUUGGAAAGUUUCGGCGGUUUUGGAUGUACUCGCGGCUUAUCAGCUUGUUGGUGGGGUAGUGGCUUACCAAGGCUUUGACGGGUAGCCGGCCUGAGAGGGCGACCGGCCACAUUGGGACUGAGAUACGGCCCAGACUCCUACGGGAGGCAGCAGUGGGGAAUAUUGAACAAUGGGCGGAAGCCUGAUGCAGAAACGCCGCGUGCGGGAUGACGGCCUUCGGGUUGUAAACCGCUUUCAGCAGGGGCGAAGCUUGUGGUGACGGUACCUGCAGAAGAAGCACCGGCUAACUACGUG
rnacentral:rRNA from 1 species